rnacentral:rRNA from 1 species
CUGUUGCCUCGGCGGGAUCUCUGCCCCGGGUGCGUCGCAGCCCCGGACCAAGGCGCCCGCCGGAGGACCAACCUAAAACUCUUAUUGUAUACCCCCUCGCGGGUUUUUUAUAAUCUGAGCCUUCUCGGCGCCUCUCGUAGGCGUUUCGAAAAUGAAUCAAAACUUUCAACAACGGAUCUCUUGGUUCUGGCAUCGAUGAAGAACGCAGCGAAAUGCGAUAAGUAAUGUGAAUUGCAGAAUUCAGUGAAUCAUCGAAUCUUUGAACGCACAUUGCGCCCGCCAGUAUUCUGGCGGGCAUGCCUGUCCGAGCGUCAUUUCAACCCUCGAACCCCUCCGGGGGGUCGGCGUUGGGGAUCGGCCUCCUCUCACGGGGGCCGUCUCCGAAAUACAGUGGCGGUCUCGCCGCAGCCUCUCCUGCGCAGUAGUUUGCACACUCGCAUCGGGAGCGCGGCGCGUCCACAGCCGUUAAACACCCCAAACUUCUGAAAUGUUGACCUCGGAUCAGGUAGGAAUACCCGCUGAACUUAAGCAUAUCAAUAA